rnacentral:lncRNA from 1 species
CCCGCCGCCAGCUCCGCGUCCGAGCCCCCAGCCGCUGCCUCUUUGUCUGCACCCGGGACGCCGCUCUGGAGAAACGAACCUCAGACCCCCGGCGCGCCCGCCAUCCAGCUCUCAGAUCCCAGAGAGGACCGGGAUGGGGAAGAAGGUGCGAGGAAACCCGAGAGGCCUGGACCAAGGGGCUUCUCAUCAUCUCGAUCCAGGGUGAGAAAUCCUUUGAAAUAAGCUCGGAGGAGCUGCCCACAGCUGGUUAACUUUAGGGAGCGUCCUCUCUGCCCUCCUCGCCCUCCAAGGAUCUCCUUUAAAAGCUUUUGAAAGGGACUGGAGGGGAGGCAGCAACAGCCUGCUCCGGGCCGGUGCAGCGGAGGGCGGCCAGCAUUUCACUCCCAUGGACCAUGGCAACCCCAGAAGCUUUGCAGCUCCUGGAAGGAAUUUGCAGCUGUGGGUGAAGCCCAG